rnacentral:rRNA from 1 species
UACGUAGGGUCCGAGCGUUGUCCGGAAUUACUGGGCGUAAAGAGCUCGUAGGUGGUUUGUCGCGUUGUUCGUGAAAACUCACAGCUCAACUGUGGGCGUGCGGGCGAUACGGGCAGACUAGAGUACUGCAGGGGAGACUGGAAUUCCUGGUGUAGCGGUGAAAUGCGCAGAUAUCGGGAAGAACACCCGUGGCGAAGGCGGUUCUCUGGGACGGUACUGACGCUGAGACGCGAAAGCGUGGGGAGCGAACAGG